GAAGAUAAGAAGACGAAGACGACGGUCAAUUUGAAUGGAAAACAAAGUUUAAUGGAGGCAGGAGCGGCUAAUUCAUAUUGAAGCCCAAAGCAACAACUUUCUGCAGUUGACACAGUGCCCUUUCAAGCAGCAACUACAGCAAGCUGUGUCAAAGGGAAAGCCAUCUGUCUAUUCAGGCUCCAACGGGGAAGUUCUCCUGCUUCUCCCUCUGCAGUAUUUGAUUUGAACGGCUAAUGUAAGAUUCCAAAAAGAUGAAAUGGUCUUCUAAAACAUGUCAAUUUGAGGCUGACACACGUACAGAACUGUUGAAACACUACAGGCUAAGACAUGGAAUGGUUAGCCGUGGCCAGACAGUGCCUUGCCUUUAUAAGGAUUGCCCUUGUUCAUUUAAGACGUUCAAUGCACUUAAUAUUAAUUUAUCCAGGCACACUCACAGAAAUAUUUAACCCUAAUUUAUAGGAUUUAUGUAAUUGAAUUACAUGACAAAGUUCCAUUUAAUUUUUUGAACAUAAACCUACCUAAUAAACUUUACAUGAUGCAUAUACAUCAGUGUAAU